rnacentral:rRNA from 1 species
GAUGAACGCUGGCGGCGUGCCUAAUACAUGCAAGUCGAGCGAACGGACGAGAAGCUUGCUUCUCUGAUGUUAGCGGCGGACGGGUGAGUAACACGUGGAUAACCUACCUAUAAGACUGGGAUAACUUCGGGAAACCGGAGCUAAUACCGGAUAAUAUUUUGAACCGCAUGGUUCAAAAGUGAAAGACGGUCUUGCUGUCACUUAUAGAUGGAUCCGCGCUGCAUUAGCUAGUUGGUAAGGUAACGGCUUACCAAGGCAACGAUGCAUAGCCGACCUGAGAGGGUGAUCGGCCACACUGGAACUGAGACACGGUCCAGACUCCUACGGGAGGCAGCAGUAGGGAAUCUUCCGCAAUGGGCGAAAGCCUGACGGAGCAACGCCGCGUGAGUGAUGAAGGUCUUCGGAUCGUAAAACUCUGUUAUUAGGGAAGAACAUAUGUGUAAGUAACUGUGCACAUCUUGACGGUACCUAAUCAGAAAGCCACGGCUAACUACGUGCCAGCAGCCGCGGUAAUACGUAGGUGGCAAGCGUUAUCCGGAAUUUAUGGGCGGUAAAGCGCGCGUAGCGGUUUUUUAAGUCUGAUGUGAAAGCCCACGGCUCAAUCGUGGAGGGUCAUUGGAAACUGGAAAACUUGAGUGCAGAAGAGGAAAGUGGAAUUCCAUGUGUAGCGGUGAAAUGCGCAGAGAUAUGGAGGAACACCAGUGGCGAAGGCGACUUUCUGGUCUGUAACUGACGCUGAUGUGCGAAAGCGUGGGGAUCAAACAGGAUUAGAUACCCUGGUAGUCCACGCCGUAAACGAUGAGUGCUAAGUGUUAGGGGGUUUCCGCCCCUUAGUGCUGCAGCUAACGCAUUAAGCACUCCGCCUGGGGAGUACGACCGCAAGGUUGAAACUCAAAGGAAUUGACGGGGACCCGCACAAGCGGUGGAGCAUGUGGUUUAAUUCGAAGCAACGCGAAGAACCUUACCAAAUCUUGACAUCCUUUGACAACUCUAGAGAUAGAGCCUUCCCCUUCGGGGGACAAAGUGACAGGUGGUGCAUGGUUGUCGUCAGCUCGUGUCGUGAGAUGUUGGGUUAAGUCCCGCAACGAGCGCAACCCUUAAGCUUAGUUGCCAUCAUUAAGUUGGGCACUCUAAGUUGACUGCCGGUGACAAACCGGAGGAAGGUGGGGAUGACGUCAAAUCAUCAUGCCCCUUAUGAUUUGGGCUACACACGUGCUACAAUGGACAAUACAAAGGGCAGCGAAACCGCGAGGUCAAGCAAAUCCCAUAAAGUUGUUCUCAGUUCGGAUUGUAGUCUGCAACUCGACUACAUGAAGCUGGAAUCGCUAGUAAUCGUAGAUCAGCAUGCUACGGUGAAUACGUUCCCGGGUCU